rnacentral:rRNA from 1 species
GCAAGUCGAACGGUAACAGGAAGUGCUUGCACUUCGCUGACGAGUGGCGGACGGGUGAGUAAUACUUAGGGAUCUGCCCUUUGGAGGGGGAUAACCAUUGGAAACGAUGGCUAAUACCGCAUAUUGCCUACGGGCAAAAGGGGGCUUUCGGGCUCUCGCCAAAGGAGGAACCUAAGCGAGAUUAGCUAGUUGGUGAGGUAAAGGCUCACCAAGGCGACGAUCUCUAGCUGUUCUGAGAGGAAGAUC